GGGAGCAUCCCAAUCGGGGCUGACCUCAGCGGCAAAGCCGGGGAUGGCGGUCGGGUCGUUCCCUGAGAGAUCCCAGGUCCCCAAGCCGCGUCCCCGAGGACGGGAACAUCGCAUCCCGAGGGCCGGCUGGAGGCUCCAUCCCAGGCUGGCCGCCGGCCCGAGCACGGAAAGCAGAGCCGAGCCCAUCUGAAACGCAUUCGGGCACUGUUGCUGCAAUAGCAGAUGCUCCUGCGGGUCGCCGGCCACAUCACAGCCCGGCGGAGCGGGAACCGCACGUUCACAUGGGAAGAAACAGUUCUUGUCCCAAGCGGCUCAAACUCCUAAUUGGGGACCAACCGUGACAAAUAAACAAGACAAU